AGAGUUUGAUCCUGGCUCAGGAUGAACGCUGGCGGCGUGCCUAAUACAUGCAAGUCGAGCGAACGGACGAGAAGCUUGCUUCUCUGAUGUUAGCGGCGGACGGGUGAGUAACACGUGGAUAACCUACCUAUAAGACUGGGAUAACUUCGGGAAACCGGAGCUAAUACCGGAUAAUAUUUUGAACCGCAUGGUUCAAAAGUGAAAGACGGUCUUGCUGUCACUUAUAGAUGGAUCCGCGCUGCAUUAGCUAGUUGGUAAGGUAACGGCUUACCAAGGCAACGAUGCAUAGCCGACCUGAGAGGGUGAUCGGCCACACUGGAACUGAGACACGGUCCAGACUCCUACGGGAGGCAGCAGUAGGGAAUCUUCCGCAAUGGGCGAAAGCCUGACGGAGCAACGCCGCGUGAGUGAUGAAGGUCUUCGGAUCGUAAAACUCUGUUAUUAGGGAAGAACAUAUGUGUAAGUAACUGUGCACAUCUUGACGGUACCUAAUCAGAAAGCCACGGCUAACUACGUGCCAGCAGCCGCGGUAAUACGUAGGUGGCAAGCGUUAUCCGGAAUUAUUGGGCGUAAAGCGCGCGUAGGCGGUUUUUUAAGUCUGAUGUGAAAGCCCACGGCUCAACCGUGGAGGGUCAUUGGAAACUGGAAAACUUGAGUGCAGAAGAGGAAAGUGGAAUUCCAUGUGUAGCGGUGAAAUGCGCAGAGAUAUGGAGGAACACCAGUGGCGAAGGCGACUUUCUGGUCUGUAACUGACGCUGAUGUGCGAAAGCGUGGGGAUCAAACAGGAUUAGAUACCCUGGUAGUCCACGCCGUAAACGAUGAGUGCUAAGUGUUAGGGGGUUUCCGCCCCUUAGUGCUGCAGCUAACGCAUUAAGCACUCCGCCUGGGGAGUACGACCGCAAGGUUGAAACUCAAAGGAAUUGACGGGGACCCGCACAAGCGGUGGAGCAUGUGGUUUAAUUCGAAGCAACGCGAAGAACCUUACCAAAUCUUGACAUCCUUUGACAACUCUAGAGAUAGAGCCUUCCCCUUCGGGGGGCAAAGUGACAGGUGGUGCAUGGUUGUCGUCAGCUCGUGUCGUGAGAUGUUGGGUUAAGUCCCGCAACGAGCGCAACCCUUAAGCUUAGUUGCCAUCAUUAAGUUGGGCACUCUAAGUUGACUGCCGGUGACAAACCGGAGGAA
rnacentral:rRNA from 1 species